GACGAACGCUGGCGGUGUGCUUAACACAUGCAAGUCGAACGGUAAGGCCCUUUCGGGGGUACACGAGUGGCGAACGGGUGAGUAACACGUGAGUAACCUGCCCUCAUCUCUGGGAUAACAGUCGGAAACGGUUGCUAAUACUGGAUAUGAGCCUGCAAGGCAUCUUGUGGGUUGGAAAGAUUUUUUGGUUGGGGAUGGUCUCGCGGCCUAUCAGCUUGUUGGUGAGGUAGUGGCUCACCAAGGCUUCGACGGGUAGCCGGCCUGAGAGGGCGACCGGCCACAUUGGGACUGAGAUACGGCCCAAACUCCUACGGGAGGCAGCAGUGGGGAAUAUUGCACAAUGGACGGAAGUCUGAUGCAGCAACGCCGCGGGCGGGAUGACGGCCUUCGGGUUGUAAACCGCUUUCAAUUGUGACGAAGCUUUUUGUGACGGUAGCAGUAGAAGAAGCACCGGCUAACUACGUG
rnacentral:rRNA from 1 species